rnacentral:rRNA from 1 species
UUUAAAAUGAGAGUUUGAUCCUGGCUCAGGAUGAACGCUGGCGGCGUGCCUAAUACAUGCAAGUCGAACG